AUUGAACGCUGGCGGCAGGCCUAACACAUGCAAGUCGAGCGGUAGCACAAGAGAGCUUGCUCCCCGGGUGACGAGCGGCGGACGGGUGAGUAAUGUCUGGGAAACUGCCUGAUGGAGGGGGAUAACUACUGGAAACGGUAGCUAAUACCGCAUAACGUCGCAAGACCAAAGAGGGGGACCUUCGGGCCUCUUGCCAUCAGAUGUGCCCAGAUGGGAUUAGCUAGUAGGUGGGGUAACGGCUCACCUAGGCGACGAUCCCUAGCUGGUCUGAGAGGAUGACCAGCCACACUGGAACUGAGACACGGUCCAGACUCCUACGGGGGGCAGCAGUGGGGAAUAUUGCACAAUGGGCGCAAGCCUGAUGCAGCCAUGCCGCGUGUAUGAAGAAGGCCUUCGGGUUGUAAAGUACUUUCAGCGGGGAGGAAGGCGAUAAGGUUAAUAACCUUGUCGAUUGACGUUACCCGCAGAAGAAGCACCGGCUAACUCCGUGCCAGCCGCCGCAGUAAUAC
rnacentral:rRNA from 1 species